rnacentral:rRNA from 1 species
UUAAGUUAAUAAGGGCGCACGGUGGAUGCCUUGGCACUAGGAGCCGACGAAGGACGUGACAAACGACGAUAUGCCUUGGGUAGCUGUAAGUAAGCGAUGAUCCAGGGAUUUCCGAAUGGGGGAACCCAACAGGUAAUACCUGUUACCUACAUCUGUUAAGGAUGUGAGGAGGAAGACGCAGUGAACUGAAACAUCUAAGUAGCUGCAGGAAGAGAAAGCAAAAGCGAUUGCCUUAGUAGCGGCGAGCGAAACGGCAGAAGGGCAAACCGAAGAGUUUACUCUUCGGGGUUGUAGGACUGCAAUGUGGACUCAAAGAUUAUAGAAGAAUGAUUUGGGAAGAUCAGCCAAAGAGAGUAAUAGCCUCGUAUUUAAAAUAGUCUUUGUACUUAGCAGUAUCCUGAGUACGGCGGGACACGUGAAAUCCCGUCGGAAUCUGGGAGGACCAUCUCCCAACCCUAAAUACUCCCUAGUGACCGAUAGUGAACCAGUACCGUGAGGGAAAGGUGAAAAGCACCCCGGGAGGGGAGUGAAAUAGAACCUGAAACCGUGUGCCUACAACAAGUUCGAGCCCGUUAAUGGGUGAGAGCGUGCCUUUUGUAGAAUGAACCGGCGAGUUACGUUAUGAUGCGAGGUUAAGUUGAAGAGACGGAGCCGUAGGGAAACCGAGUCUGAAUAGGGCGCCUUAGUAUCAUGACGUAGACCCGAAACCAUGUGACCUACCCAUGAGCAGGUUGAAGGUGCGGUAAGACGCACUGGAGGACCGAACCAGGGCACGUUGAAAAGUGCUUGGAUGACUUGUGGGUAGCGGAGAAAUUCCAAACGAACUUGGAGUAUAGCUGGUUCUCUCCGAAAUAGCUUUAGGGCUAGCGUCGACAUUAGAGAUUCUUGGAGGUAGAGCACUGUUUGGGUGAGGGGUCCAUCCCGGAUUACCAAUCUCAGAUAAACUCCGAAUGCCAAUGAAUUAUGGUCGGCAGUCAGACUGCGAGUGCUAAGAUCCGUAGUCGAAAGGGAAACAGCCCAGACCACCAGCUAAGGUCCCAAAAUAAUUGUUAAGUGGAAAAGGAUGUGGGGUUGCACAGACAACUAGGAUGUUAGCUUAGAAGCAGCUAUUCAUUCAAAGAGUGCGUAAUAGCUCACUAGUCGAGUGACCCUGCGCCGAAAAUGUACCGGGGCUAAAACAAUUUACCGAAGCUGUGGAUACCUUUAUAGGUAUGGUAGGAGAGCGUUCUAUGUGUGAUGAAGGUAUACCGUGAGGAGUGCUGGAACGCAUAGAAGUGAGAAUGCCGGUAUGAGUAGCGAAAGACAGGUGAGAAUCCUGUCCACCGUAAGACUAAGGUUUCCAGGGGAAGGCUCGUCCGCCCUGGGUUAGUCGGGACCUAAGGAGAGACCGAAAGGUGUAUCCGAUGGACAACAGGUUGAUAUUCCUGUACUAGAGUAUGUAGUGAUGGAGGGACGCAGUAGGCUAACUAAAGCAGACGAUUGGAAGAGUCUGUCUAAGCAGUGAGGUGUGAAUUGAGUCAAAUGCUUAAUUCUAUAACAUUGAGCUGUGAUGGGGAGCGAAGUUUAGUAGCGAAGUUAGUGACGUCACACUGCCAAGAAAAGCUUCUAGCGUUUAAACAUACUCUACCCGUACCGCAAACCGACACAGGUAGUCGAGGCGAGUAGCCUCAGGUGAGCGAGAGAACUCUCGUUAAGGAACUCGGCAAAAUGACCCCGUAACUUCGGGAGAAGGGGUGCUGACUUAAAGUCAGCCGCAGUGAAUAGGCCCAAGCAACUGUUUAUCAAAAACACAGCUCUCUGCUAAAUCGUAAGAUGAUGUAUAGGGGGUGACGCCUGCCCGGUGCUGGAAGGUUAAGAGGAGUGCUUAGCGUAAGCGAAGGUAUGAAUUGAAGCCCCAGUAAACGGCGGCCGUAACUAUAACGGUCCUAAGGUAGCGAAAUUCCUUGUCGGGUAAGUUCCGACCCGCACGAAAGGCGUAAUGAUUUGGGCACUGUCUCAACGAGAGACUCGGUGAAAUUUUAGUACCUGUGAAGAUGCAGGUUACCCGCGACAGGACGGAAAGACCCCAUGGAGCUUUACUGCAGUUUGAUAUUGAGUGUCUGUACCACAUGUACAGGAUAGGUAGGAGUCUAAGAGAUCGGGACGCCAGUUUCGAAGGAGACGCUGUUGGGAUACUACCCUUGUGUUAUGGCCACUCUAACCCAGAUAGGUGAUCCCUAUCGGAGACAGUGUCUGACGGGCAGUUUGACUGGGGCGGUCGCCUCCUAAAAGGUAACGGAGGCGCCCAAAGGUUCCCUCAGAAUGGUUGGAAAUCAUUCGCAGAGUGUAAAGGUAUAAGGGAGCUUGACUGCGAGAGCUACAACUCGAGCAGGGACGAAAGUCGGGCUUAGUGAUCCGGUGGUUCCGUAUGGAAGGGCCAUCGCUCAACGGAUAAAAGCUACCCUGGGGAUAACAGGCUUAUCUCCCCCAAGAGUUCACAUCGACGGGGAGGUUUGGCACCUCGAUGUCGGCUCGUCGCAUCCUGGGGCUGUAGUCGGUCCCAAGGGUUGGGCUGUUCGCCCAUUAAAGCGGCACGCGAGCUGGGUUCAGAACGUCGUGAGACAGUUCGGUCCCUAUCCGUCGCGGGCGUAGGAAAUUUGAGAGGAUCUGCUCCUAGUACGAGAGGACCAGAGUGGACUUACCGCUGGUGUACCAGUUGUCUUGCCAAAGGCAUCGCUGGGUAGCUAUGUAGGGAAGGGAUAAACGCUGAAAGCAUCUAAGUGUGAAACCCACCUCAAGAUGAGAUUUCCCAUGAUUAUAUAUCAGUAAGAGCCCUGAGAGAUGAUCAGGUAGAUAGGUUAGAAGUGGAAGUGUGGCGACACAUGUAGCGGACUAAUACUAAUAGCUCGAGGACUUAUCCAA